rnacentral:lncRNA from 1 species
GGAAAUUGAGGCCUUUUAAAAGAAUGCCACUGCAAUUGUGGGGAGAAUCUAGGUCUCCACAAUCUAACUCACUUCUCAGUCCCUUCCUGUUAGGGUCUCAGUCUCGCCUAGGCUGGAGUGCAGUGGUACAAACAAGGCUCACUGCAAUGUUGACCUUCUGGGCUCAAGUGAUCCUGCCACCUCAGCCUCCCAAGUAGCUGGAACUACUGACACUCACCACCAUCCCUGGCUAAUUUUUUUAUUGGCUCUCACUAUGUUACCCAGGAGUGAUCCUCCCAUCUUGGCCUUCCAAAAUGUUGGGAUCUAUUGAUUUUUAAUUUCACUCUAAUUUUCCUUGUGAUUUCUUCUUUGACUCAUUGGCUAUAUAGAGGGUAUUGAUUAAUUUCCACAUUUUGUUCAUAUCCCCAAAUUUCUCCAUUAUUGAUUUCUGAUUUGAUUCCAUUGUGGUUGAUAAAUAUACUUUGUAUGAUUUCAAUCAUUUUAUAUUUAUUGAGGUUGUUUUAUGGCAUAAAAUAGUCUAUCCUGAAGACUGUUCCUUUGUACUUGAGAAGAACAUGUAUUCUUCUGCUGUCAGGAGGACUGUUCUCCAGAUAUUUGUUAAGUAUUGUUGGUGUAUAGUGUUACUCAAGUCUUCUAUAUACUUAUUAAUCUUCUGUCUAGUCAUUAUGGAUAGUCAGUUGUUUGAAUUUCAAACUAUUAUUUUUGAAUUGUCUAUUUCUUUUUUCAGUUCUGUCCAUUUUUGCUUCAGGUAUUUUGGGGCAUUAUGAUUAAAUGUAUACAUGUUUUUAACUCUUACAUCUUUAUGAUGAAUUGGCAUGUUUUAUCAUUAUGAAAUAUGGCUUUUCUUCUCUGAUAGUGUUUCUUGUAUUAAAGUCUAUUUUAAAUAAUGUUAAUACAGCUACUUCAGCUGUCAUAGAGUUACUGAUUUCAUACUUUACCUUUUUUACAUCAUUUUGCUUUUUAUUUAUUUAUGUAUUUGAAUAUAAUGUGUGUCUAUUAUAGACAGUGUAUACUUGGGUCUUGUUUCUAUCAAAUCUGACAAUCCUUUCCUUUUAUGUGUUGUGCUUGGUUUAUUUGCUUUUCAUGUAUUAAGUAUUGCUACAGUUGGAUUUAUGCCUGUCAUUUUUCUAUUUGCUUUCUAUUUAUUUAUUUAUUGCUGUAGAGUCUUGCUCUGUCUCCAAAGCUGGAGCGCAGUGGUGUGAUCAUAGCUCACUGUAGCCUUGACCUCAGAGGCUCAAGAAAUCCUCUUGCCUUAGCUUCAUCAGUAGCUGGGACUACAGGUGCCUAUCAUGAUGCCUUGCCAAAUUUCUACUUUUUGUAGAGAUGGGGGUCUCACUGUGUUGCUCAGGCUGAUCUUGAACUCCUGGGCUCAAGACUUCCUCCUACCUUGGCCUUCCAAGUUGCUAAGAUUACAGGUGUGAGCCGCUGCAACCAGGCUCAUUUUAAAUAUAUUCCUCUGUUUCUCAUUUACUGUUAUAUUUUGUGAUAUAUAAAUGGUUUUUCUAAUCUAUCAUUUUAAUUCCUCUGUUGUUUGUGUUAAUAUUAUUUCUUAGUGGUUGCUACAAUAAUUACAAUAUGCAUCUCAUCUAAUCAUAAUCCAUUUAAGAAUAGUACCAACUUAAUUCCAGUAAAAUAUAAUAUCUUUAUUUACUUACAUACCCUUUUCUUCUUCUCUUUACUUUGUGCGAUUACUUCACCAAAUAUGUUAUAAAUCCAACACUAUAAUAUUAUAAUUAUGUU